rnacentral:rRNA from 1 species
GAUGAACGCUGGCGGCGUGCAUAACACAUUCAAGUCGAACGGUGACGGGGCUUCGGCCCCUGAUCAGUGGCGGACGGGUGAGUAACGCGUGAGCAACCUGCCCUUAUGUUCGGGAUAACGACCGGAAACAGUCGCUAAUACCGAAUAACAUAUUCUGAUUGCAUGGUUGGGAUAUCAAAGAUUUAUUGCAUAAGGAUGGGCUCGCGUCCCAUUAGAUAGUAGGCGGGGUAACGGCCCACCUAGGCUACGAUGCAUAGGGGUUCUGAGAGGAAGGUCCCCCACACUGGUACUGAGACACGGACCAGACUCCUACGGGAGGCAGCAGUGAGGAAUAUUGGUCAAUGGUCGAGAGACUGAACCAGCCAAGUCGCGUGAAGGAAGACGGUUCUAUGGAUUGUAAACUUCUUUAGUCGGGGAGCAAAAAGAGUGACGAGUCACUAAUUGAGCGUACCCGAAGAAUAAGCAUCGGCUAAACUCCGUG